CAAAGGCCGCCGCUGCCUUGGGCGGCCCAGGCGCGGGGAGGUUGUAGAGCUUCCUGGAGAACCCUCCUCCUCCGAGCUGCUGGGGGAGCCGCAGUCCGCCUCCUGAAGUGAAGGGUCUUCCAUGACUGGGAGCUCCUUCAGCUUCUCCUGGGACUCAGGAAGAGAAUCCAACCCCCAAGGCACAGGCGUGCACAUUCCUGGCGGUGUUUUUCCAGAUCAGCUGACCAAGUCUCAUCCCAUCCUAAGGGGUCCUGCUCCUGCCGCCUUGUCUGGCUCUGUCAGGAACUGGCUCACUGGACCCUUCCUCAUCUAAAUGUGGAUCCUGGACUCUUCCCUCCUGAUAGCACACUGUGCUCUGAUCUGAAAUCUACUUUUACCCAUAAUGGCUCAAUAAAAUCUCCACUCCACCUCUA